UACAGAGGUCUCAACCGUUGUUCGGAUUCAUUGGGCGUAAAGGGUGCGUAGGUGGCGCGGUAAGUCGGGUGUGAAAUUUCGGAGCUUAACUCCGAAACUGCAUUCGAUACUGCCGUGCUUGAGGACUGGAGAGGAGACUGGAAUUUACGGUGUAGCAGUGAAAUGCGUAGAUAUCGUAAGGAAGACCAGUGGCGAAGGCGGGUCUCUGGACAGUUCCUGACACUGAGGCACGAAGGCCAGGGGAGCAAACGGG
rnacentral:rRNA from 1 species